rnacentral:misc_RNA from 1 species
GAUGAAGAACGUAGCGAACUGCGAUAAGUAAUGUGAAUUGCAGAAUUCAGUGAAUCAUCGAGUCUUUGAACGCACAUUGCGCCCCCUGGCAUUCCGGGGGGCAUGCCUGUCCGAGCGUCAUUGCUGCCCUUCAAGCCCGGCUUGUGUGUUGGGUCGUCGUCCCCCCCGGGGGACGGGCCCGAAAGGCAGCGGCGGCACCGCGUCCGGUCCUCGAGCGUAUGGGGCUUUGUCACCCGCUCGAUUAGGGCCGGCCGGGCGCCAGCCGGCGUCUCCAACCUUCUAUUUUACCAGGUUGACCUCGGAUCAGGUAGGGAUACCCGCUGAACUUAAGCAUAUAAUAAGCGGAGGA